UCCUAAAAAAAAGAAAAGAAAAAAGAAAAGAAAAAACACACGCACGCGACCCCGUCCUCUCUCUCGGUCUUUCCCCGUCGCCGGUUGCCCUCGUCUCCUCCGUCCCCAACGGUGGCGCUACGUUCCGUCCCCGCCGCCGCCCACGCCACUGCUUCCCCUUCCCCUUCCUCUCCUUCUCCCUCUCUACCUCUCCCUCCAUGUGGUGGCACACCAGCCGAGCUCGGUCGCGGCCACCUCCACGCGCUGCGCGCGGCCUGGGCGGCGGUGCCGCCGGUGUGCCGCACGGCCGCAUCGGCAAGCUCCGGCGAUGGCUGCUCCUGGCACGGCGUGGCGCGAGAGAGCCCUGCCGCUGGCCACAACGCGCGGCGGCCCCCCGGCGGGGCCUUCUCCCGACGGUCCUCGCGCCGUCUCCUCAUAGGUUUGGUACCCCUCUCUUUCUCUUUACCUCUUUCUGGUCGAUCUCCCUCUUCCAGCGCUCGUGGAGGAUCCCUCCCCUUCGUUGUGGACGACGAUCAGCUGUUGUGUCCUCGCGUUCGCCUACUACACCGGUGCUAUACCCCGCAGAUGCCACCCGCUCCGCAUCUCCGACCACCCCAGGUGCUCUGCUGCGGCCACUUUCCUGGAGCUCUUGUUGCCUCUACCGUUGAAUUGGAAGGUCAUGACAAGGUUCACUUGUGUACAGCGUGUCUGUGCUGCUCUUAUUAACCCUGACUAUUUGAUCCUUUUAACCAAAUUUUCUCUCUUCCAACAUGGUCGUUGCAAAAGUUCGUGUGACGUGUGCAUUGGUACCUUGUCGUUUCUAAUUUCCAUUGACUUUCUAUUACAGGUUUGGUGGAAUUGGUAGUCCAUACUUAUUAAUUCAUGCGUAUCUUUGGUUAUUUGUUUCUUAUUCAUACAAUUGACCAAUUUAAUUGAAGAGACUACCAUUGUGGUGUAGUGACAGAGGCCAUCACCAAUCUGCAGUUCUAAGGGAUAUUUAAUAUUUCUUUGUUUGAUUAGUUUAUUUAUGAUUGUUGUCUAAGCAAUCUCCAUUCUUGAUUGCAUCUGCCAUAUUUUCAUGUUAAUUUGCGCACUAUGCAAGAGUCGAUUUAUUUAUUAUUGUUGUCUAAGCAAUCUCUAUUCUUGGUUGCAUCUUUCAUAGCUCAUGACUACCUAAUUACCUGUUCCUGUAUGCUAAUUACAAAAUUAUUCUUUUGCAGAUUUCCACGAUGCGUCCUUGCAAUUUAGUUCUGAUUCAUCUCGUGGUUCUCACUUCAAAAAGUUCCAAUUAAGUGAAAAAGAAAAAAAAUAGUUCUUCAGCCAAUACAACUGCAUGCUGGGGGUUGUUUCUAGGAGUACUAAUUAUUUAUGGCAGCAUUGUGAGUAAUCUAUAAGUCCCUUGUUCUUCGUGAUGCUCUGUUCUUUAUAUGAACAAUGAUUUGUGAACUUGUGAAACCAAAUUUUUUUCCAUUAGUUGCUCAGCUGCCUUGUAGGUUCCCUAUUCUCAAAAAAUAUGCUCUCUAUAGUCAUCCUUAUAUUACUAGAAAUUUCUUUAUGCUUAACUGAAAAAUCAUAUUCUCAUGAUAUGCAUUGAAUGAUUGGUAUGUAACAGACAUACUGUGAAGAACAUCCCAAAGUAUGGUUCACCAUAGUUUUAGAUUGAUAAUGUACCUCCAUAGAUGAAAGAGAGAGAUUAUGUCUAUCAAUCCAUUUCUCAGCGGGUUAAGUAAACUUCUGAGUGCAACAUUUUGUUUUUUGCUGUCCAUUUUAGUUUUGUGGCUCAGGACAUCUCACAAGAUUAGAUGUUGUGGUAAAGGGAGCAUUAUUAUUUGCUUUCAUUCUUUGCUCUGUGCAAUGGUCAUAUCUUUUCACAUAGGUAUGGUCUCAAUGAAAAAGUUUAAAGCUAAUGUGAAAAUUCAGUGCUUGGAUGUGAUGAUCUGCUUAGUUUAACCAGCUAGAAUGCACAGUUAUCUAUCGUGCAUUAAAUAUUGAGGAAAUGGUCGACAAGCUUGCAGCAACAAAGAUGAACAGAAAUGGCAACAUAAAUCCAUACAUGCAUGUAUUAACCAUCCUCUUUGUUGUAUCAUAUUGUGUACAAUCGUGUAUGCAUUUAUGACAUUAUCAAAUGCAGAUGGAGUUGAUGUCCUCGUUUUUUUUGCGAGUGGCCUCAAGUUCAUUUCACAGUGAUAUAAUAAACUAUUCACAUUUUUUCCAUUUCACGGUGACAUAAUCAAAUAUUGACAUUUUGUUUCCAAAGGGCUCUUCACCUGAGAUUUGAAAGAAGAACUGGGCCUUUCUUUCUGUGAUUUUGUAGGCACGCGGGAGGACAAGGCGAUAGUGGCGGCUUACAGGCAGAAAGAAUGGGUCAGUUUCCUUGCUUCCUGUAGUGAAAGAAAUAGAAGUCAUGGAUUACAUAAAAGACCACCUGAGCUAACUCAUAUGAUUGGAGAAUAAUGAUAGUGGUUGAUUUGUCAAAACACCAUUCUAUUUUUUCAAAGGCUCAUCUACAGUUGUCAAUUCUAUAUCUUGCAUUCUUUCAGCUCUCAGUCAUGGAGAUGCAGUUCUUUUCAGUUAUCAUCAUUCUAUCCCAUGUGUUUUCCACAUUGACAGUGUUGGCUCUGUUGCACUGGAAAGACAGUGUUAUUUGGUCUUCCUUGAUGGUUAAAAAAAAAUCUCUUUUCUCUAGACGGUUACCAUUCCAGCAAGAUGGUUGCCGGCUUUUGGAAAGGAAAAAAUCAACAAACACCUCCGCUAGGACUUGGAAAUGAUGGCAUGCCAAGAAUAGCUGAAUCUACUAGGGUUCCAUUUCUGAUGAAAAUUGAGUCUGAUGAUCUCCCUGAGAAUGAUGAAACUAUUCCACCUCACCUGCCACGAGACCUAAAAGCUAAAAGGCACAAGACCGAUGGAUCUGAGGCUGGAGCUCAGAGGUCUGGUUCAGCAAAGAAAACAAAAUAGGGUGCGCCACCAUCUUAAACGUGGGUCAUCUUCUUUUGCAGAAUGACAUGCCUCAAGAACUUCAUAGCUUUUAAUUGGCAUCACCUAUUUAUGAACUAAUAUUUGUAGAAUAUUGCCUCUAUUAUUUCCUCAUAUAGAACUGCUAGAACUUUACACAUCAACGAAAAGUAGCAGUUCAAACUCUUAUUGUAUACAGUAACUGGGAUGUAUAUGGAUUGCUUACCUGUAUCCUAACAGAAAUAGGCACACUUUGCCAUGGUCGUUGUUUACUGAUAUGUGCAAGAGUAUUCGUGCCAA